UUUUCCGCAACACAUCCUCCCACACGCAACAAAGCCUCACGCCGAAUACAAAAAACCCUCACUCGUCGAAACCUAAAUUAGCAAUCUGGCCUCCUGACUCGCGAUCUCCUUUCAUGCAAACUCCCUUCGCCGAAACCACUAACCCUUAGCUCCGUCUCCGUCUCCGUCUCCGUCUUCGUCAACUUCUUGAUCCCAGCACAAGCGCAGGAGGAGGAGAACCAAUGUUUCCGCCCCCUUCCUCAUUCGUCUCCAUCCUUGCCCAUCUUUGGGUACAAGUAAGCGAUUGAGUGCAAAGCUGCCUCCUUGGUAGGUUUCAGGAUCGGCUCCCCCUUUGGCUGUGCAAGUUUUUUUUUAGGGCAAGAGGGAGGUGUACAUGAGAGUAGAAGAUCAUGGAGUUCUGGACGGAGUUCUUGGUGAAUAGUUGGGGGGCGUCAACGGCAUGGUCAGGGUCACCUUCAGCUAUCCACUCGACAUUCUCCAUAUCCGCUUGCAACAGCCACCGCCGACUCUCGCUUCCUCAAAUUCCUUCGACCUUGCCCGAUGAUCCAUCUCGGGCAUCGACCUCCUUCGUAGAAUCGUCGCUCGGGAGGGCCUCACUAUGCUUUACCGCGGCAUGGUCGCGCUGCUCACCUCCGUUUCAGGUACCCGUCCUCCCCUUUCUCUGAUUAGCUUCAAGGGAACUAGAUCGAAUGAAGUUCAGAUCCAAGUAAGCAGUCCCUUCUCUUAGCUUCAAAACAUUGAAAGCUAAGAGUUGAGUUGGUUCAAAUGGAUUGGCAUUGGCAUUGCUAUCGACAGCAGCAUAAUUGAUACAUUUUGAUCAGACGUUGUAGGAGUUAAAGGAGUGUGGGUGGUGAUGGGUUUGACAAGGUAAUGCUCAAAAGGCUGAUUUUGUCUUGUUCUUUGGUGAAAGUGUUAACUGAAGUUGGAGGAUCAGGAAGUGCUGGAGCAUUAUUGGCUGAAGGAGGUGAUGAUGCCUCCAUGCUUCCUGUUAUGGAGGAAGCUGUAACAUCAGUUCCAUUUCGAGAGCCCAAAUGAUCACUGGUUGCAACGGAGCUGCUUCUAGAAUUUGGUGGAUUGACUUUGGAGUUCCUGCACAAGCACAGACAAAUUUUUAACCAGUCUUUUUUCUUUCUUUCUAAAUAUGGUAGAUUAGCUACCUAAAACUAACCUGCGAGCUGACUGAGCAUAAUCAUCGUCUUCGUCUUCCUCUUCCUCUUCCUCAUCAUACUGACUAGCAGAUUGAGGUGCAAUUGGAGUUCUUGGAAGGGAUUCAGAGACUUCAGGUUUUGUAGGUUGAGGUGCCAUAGGGUCCCUUUCGAUCAACUCAGAUGCACUAGCUUGCAGAGGUGAACCAGAAGCAAUAGCAUCGUGCUUUGCAAGUACAUUUUGCAAGUCAUCAUUCAAUUCAAGGCCUUGACCUAACAACUCCUCAUCCCUGUGAACAUGGCCGAGUACAAUUUAGAUAGUUUGGGCAUAAAAUUCUGCUAGAAGAUGAAAUGAGCCAAAGGAAGUCAACAUAUGAAAAAGGAAAAAAGGAUCAAGUUCCACAAUUGUCAGAAGAUGAUAUGAGAAGUGCGAGGUUUGUUAAGUCAUUGCAAAUGAUGAGGAUUAACAAUGUCAAGAAGUUACAGAAUAAGGAACAAUGAUCAAAGUUGUCCAGAGAAGCUAAGAGAAUAGUUUAUUUGGUUUUUUUAUGUGGUCCAUGAGAGUUUGCAUUUGCCAAAAGGAUGGGAUUUUUUUUAACUCUGGUUCUGGGAAUUAAGAGGAAGAUGUUUGCUAAGAAGCGCUAAGUCGAGAAGGCUUUAAUGAAGAAGACAUAAGCUUCCUAUACAUCUCUCUAGUUUUUGAGUUCUUACUGAUGUAUCCAUGUUGUUGUUAUUGUCUUUCCAAUUUAUAAUCAGUUCAUAAUCGUGUGGUGCGGUCGAAAUAAUAGGCCAGUUUUAGUGGUUAGGGACAAUGAAGUUUUUUGUUUUGAGCUUAGUUUCUUAAAACAAAUUCAUAGUUGGAUUUAAUGCUCAACUAUAUAAAAUUGUAAGCAAUAGAACUAAUUCUUUUUUCAGGCCAAAACAACAAAGAAGAUUGUGUUGACACUUCAAUGCCAAAGCUGUAAGCAUUAUUGAUGUCAUCUAAUAAAAAGAUGCAAGCACUUUGAGAUUGGAGGAGACAAAAAGGGCAAGGGAACUUCUCUCUUCUCGUUUGUUUUUUUUUCCCAAAUUCUAGGAGUAGCAAUUACAUGCUAUGUGGCACUGCAUCCGAACCUCAAGAGUGUGACUGGAAAGUACUUCGAUGAAGAACUAUCAAGAAGGCUUUGGUAUUUAAGCGAGAAGAUGGUUAAAGCCAAUGAGUAAAGAGAAUUCAAGUUAAGAGGAUAAGUAGCAUCUAUCAAGAUCCUUUAAGUUCAUGUAAUAAGAUGUAGUUGAUAGAACUAGUUUUGAGUAUCUUCUAAUUAAAAUUUCUUUGUAUGCGAGUAAUUAUGUUUGUUAUAGAAGUGUAAGGAUGAUAAUUUAUAUAUUUAUCUCAGUUGUUUAUUUAA